rnacentral:lncRNA from 1 species
CUAGUAUUGAUAAAAAGGAAUUCGACUUAGGGCUUUAAGGGAAGAGCGUGUCUCAACCCAGGCACUGGAGAGUAACACAAGCUUUGCAUUCAGCUUUUCCAGAAUCGACUCCAGGAUCUUAUCGGAAGGGACCAGCAGGUUCUGGAUUUUCCUAAGCUUGGACUGCAUUUUUCAUUCUUCUGGAAACAACCUUAAGCGCAGGCAGAACAUUCACAGAGACAUCAGGAAGCCAAAUCCAGUUCUGCUUACCGGACAUGCAACCAUUCUCAACCCAGGAUUAAGCAUUAUCCAUACAAACCCAACACUCAAAAGAAGGACAGAGAUUCCAACCUGACACAGCAUGUUUCUUGGAUGGACAACUCUCCCUCAUUGAUCCUGAGGAAUGCAAGCCAAG